AAUCAUUGUCUGUGGGUAGACUAUAAAGGCAGGUAGUUGCUUUCUGAGCGCUGCCUUCACUCUGAAUGCACGUCCGCCUCCCGUUCGCUGGACUUCUGCAAUUGCUGCAGGUCCCUGUGUGUAGUAGCAGGAUAGGCUCCAUAGACUCUCUCUUCCCCUGAACUUACAGACGCUGCCUGAUUGGACUGUGGGCCCUGGUCAGCAUUUAGCAGCUUCCCCCAGGAGCUGCUGUGGCCAUUCUGGCCCAUGCUGCAAGAAUGCUGCUGCUUUGCCUUUAAUUAGUGUUAACAAUCAUUGUCUUUGUUUUGAAUUGUUUGGUCGGGUCCACUGCUGCUGCGUUGAGGGCCGGCAGUUCCAUGACUAGUACUCUUUUAGCUUAGCCGUUUUAAUGGUGUGAGUGUGCGUGUGUGUAGUGAGCAGGGUUUUUUCUUUUCUUUUGUUGUCAUCGUUUGCUUAUUCUCAGUUUUGCUUAGUUUAGUUCAUUCAUUUAUCUCUACUUUAUAGCUUACAUAAAGAUUUCAUAUCAAUAAUAUUGUUAGUUUAUUGUGUUUAUUCUGUUCCUAAGUUGCUGGUUAGGUGUUUAACCAUCUGACCAACUGCUAUUGUUUUGGAGAAGUGUUUCUUUAGUUUAGUUUAGUUUGUUUGUUCAUUCUUUUCUUCUUCCUUUUUUUUUUCUUGUUUCGUUACACCACUGGCAAGAGGCCCUUUGUCAGAGUCUGCUCUCCCCCUCACCUGUUGCUGUGGGAAUUAUCCAAUCAUUCAGUCUCAC